GCCGGCCUAGCUCAAUUGGUAGAGCAACUGACUUGUAAUCAGUAGGUUGGGGGUUCAAGCCCUCUGGCCGGCACCA
rnacentral:tRNA from 96 species